rnacentral:rRNA from 1 species
CCUACGGGAGGCAGCAGUGAGGAAUAUUGGUCAAUGGACGAGAGUCUGAACCAGCCAAGUAGCGUGAAGGAUGACUGCCCUAUGGGUUGUAAACUUCUUUUAUAUGGGAAUAAAAUGUUCCACGUGUGGGAUUUUGUAUGUACCAUAUGAAUAAGGAUCGGCUAACUCCGUGCCAGCAGCCGCGGUAAUACGGAGGAUCCGAGCGUUAUCCGGAUUUAUUGGGUUUAAAGGGAGCGUAGGUGGAUUGUUAAGUCAGUUGUGAAAGUUUGCGGCUCAACCGUAAAAUUGCAGUUGAAACUGGCAGUCUUGAGUACAGUAGAGGUGGGCGGAAUUCGUGGUGUAGCGGUGAAAUGCUUAGAUAUCACGAAGAACUCCGAUUGCGAAGGCAGUUCACUGGACUGCAACUGACACUGAGGCUCGAAAGUGUGGGUAUCAAACAGGAUUAGAUACCUUUAGC